rnacentral:rRNA from 1 species
UACAGAGGGUGCGAGCGUUAAUCGGAAUUACUGGGCGUAAAGCGUGCGUAGACGGUUACAUAAGUCGGGUGUGAAAGCCCCGGGCUCAACCUGGGAAUUGCAUUCGAGACUGCGUAGCUAGGGUGCGGAAGAGGGAAGCGGAAUUUCCGGUGUAGCGGUGAAAUGCGUAGAUAUCGGAAGGAACACCAGUGGCGAAAGCGGCUCCUGGUCCAGCACCGACGUUCAGGCACGAAAGCCGUGGGGAGCAAACAGG